GUCCGUGUGGCCUAAUGGAUUAGGCGUCUGACUUCGGCUCAGAAGACUGCAGGUUCGAGUCCUGCCGGGGACG
rfam:Ixodes scapularis strain Wikel colony gcontig_1108378501414, whole genome shotgun sequence.